GAUGAACGCUGGCGGCGUGCCUAAUACAUGCAAGUAGGACGCAGUUGCGAACGGGUGAGUAACGCGUAGGUAACUACCUGUUAGAGGGUGAUAACUAUUGGAAACGAUAGCUCAUACCGCAUACUAGUAGAUGGACCUGCGUUGUAUUAGCUAGUAGGUAGGGUAAUGGCCUACCUAGGCAACGAUACAUAGCCGACCUGGGAGGGUGAUCGGGCCAACGUGGAAUGAGAAACGGCCCAGAAUCCUACGGGAGGGAGCAGGAGGGGAACUUCGGCAAUGGGGGGAAACCUGGACGAGCAACGCCGCGGGAGUGAAGAAGGUUUUCGGAUCGUAAAGCUCUGUUGUUAAGGAAGCGGUACUUAACCAGAAAGGGCCGGCUAACUACGUGCCAGCAGCCGCGGUAAUUC
rnacentral:rRNA from 1 species